GUGCUCGUUUUGGCAGCACAUAGACUAAAAUUGGAAUGGUACAGAGAAGAUUAGCAUGGCCCCUGUGCAAGGAUGACACACAAAUUUGUGAAGCAUUCCAUAUUUU
rnacentral:snRNA from 1 species